rnacentral:rRNA from 1 species
GACGAACGCUGGCGGCGUGCUUAACACAUGCAAGUCGAACGGAAAGGCCCUGCUUUUGUGGGGUGCUCGAGUGGCGAACGGGUGAGUAACACGUGAGUAACCUGCCCUUGACUUUGGGAUAACUUCAGGAAACUGGGGCUAAUACCGGAUAGGAGCUCCUGCUGCAUGGUGGGGGUUGGAAAGUUUCGGCGGUUGGGGAUGGACUCGCGGCUUAUCGGCUUGUUGGUGGGGUAGUGGCUUACCAAGGCUUUGACGGGUAGCCGGCCUGAGAGGGUGACCGGCCACAUUGGGACUGAGAUACGGCCCAGACUCCUACGGGAGGCAGCAGUGGGGAAUAUUGCACAAUGGGCAGAAGCCUGAUGCAGCAACGCCGCGUGCGGGAUGACGGCCUUCGGGUUGUAAACCGCUUUCGCCUGUGACGAAGCGUGAGUGACGGUAAUGGGUAAAGAAGCACCGGCUAACUACGUG